AGCGAACGCUGGCGGCAGGCCUAACACAUGCAAGUCGAACGAACCCUUCGGGGUUAGUGGCGGACGGGUGAGUAACACGUGGGAACGUGCCUUUAGGUUCGGAAUAACUCAGGGAAACUUGUGCUAAUACCGAAUGUGCCCUUCGGGGGAAAGAUUUAUCGCCUUUAGAGCGGCCGCGUCUGAUUAGCUAGUUGGUGAGGUAAUGGCUCACCAAGGCUACGAUCAGUAGCUGGUCUGCGAGGAUGACCAGCCACAUUGGGACUGAGACACGGCCCAAACUCCUACGGGAGGCAGCAGUGGGGAAUCUUGCGCAAUGGGCGAAAGCUUGACGCAGCCAUGCCGCGUGGAUGAUGAAGGUCUUAGGAUUGUAAAAUCCUUUCACCGGUGAAGAUAAUGACUGUAGCCGGAGAAGAAGCCCCGGCUAACUUCGUGCCAGCCGCCGCCGUAAAAC
rnacentral:rRNA from 1 species